GUCUCUUCGGGGACAUCUAAGAAAAUUAGGAUGAUACAGACAAAAUUAGCAUAGUUCUGCGCAAUGAUGAUAUGUGCAAAUAGAGAAAUAGUCCAAUUUUUU